ensembl:misc_RNA Metazoa_SRP Metazoan signal recognition particle RNA
GCCGGGUGUGGUGGCUCACGCCUGUAAUCCCAGCACUUUGGGAGGCUGAGGCAGGUGGAUCACCUGAGGUCGGGAGUUCGAGACCAGCCUGACCAACAUGGAGAAACCCUGUCUCUA